UUCUCAUAAAAAAAAGGUAUAACAAUAGAAGGAGGUUCCCUCCUGAAAGGCUCUCCUCCCUCGUCGGACUUCUCUUCUCAACCAACUCUGGCUGCCCUCCUCCCUCUCUGCCGGAAUUCCGUUUUCCCACCACCGCCGGACUGUUCUGCAAUCUCUCAACUCUGCACAUCUCUCCGUCUGUAAUCAACUCCGCAACUCCCUCCUUCUGCAAUCAACUCCACACAUAUAUGUUCUGUAAUCUCUCCGUCUAUAGCUCCCUCCAUCUGCAACCUCUCUCCGUCUGCAACUUCCCUGUGUUUGUAGCCUCCCUCCGUCACGUCCUGCUUCCUCCCAACCAAUACACUUAG